CUGUGAGCCACCUCAAUUAGAUAUAGUCAUGGUGUCUCUUCAUAGCAAUAGAAACACUAAGGCACUAUCCAUUAUCUCUUCACCCAUCUAUCCAUUCACCACAUCCAUCCAUCAUUCAUCUAUUCCUCCACCCACCCUCCAUGUCUCCUCCUCCUACCAUCUGUCUACUCAUACAUCACACCCACCUAUCCACUCACCCAUCAUUGAUCCAUCCAGCCAUCCAGCCAUCCAGCCAUCCACCCAUCCAUCUAUUAUCUAUCUAUUAUCUCUCUGCCCAUCUAUUCACCCUUCCUUCCUUCCUUCCUUCCUUUCCUCCUUCCUUUCUUUCUUUCCACCUGUCCCACAUUUAUGAAGAGCCACAUUUAGGAGUCCCAAACCUCAGUUUCCUCAGCUCACAAGGCCAAAGGCAUAGACAAGGCAUCACCAGUGCAUCAUGAUCAGAGUGAGAAGCCCGAACCAUAGGAGCCCAGUAUGAGUGCCUCAAGGAAGACUUCUAAGAGGAGCUUGAAGCAGGAAAACCUGGGCAGAGCAAGUCCUCCAUGCAGGAAGUGGGCACUCACUCCCCAAACCAUCAUCCUGACACUUCUGUCAAGGCUCUGGGAUCCUCCCCUCCGUGCCUGGCCAAACCUCCCAGGGUCUAUGUAUAUCGUCUGGUCUGGAAGUCCCAGUCUCCUCACUUCAGCCUCCUGAGAACUGGAAUUACAGGCAUGGGCCAGCUUAAGUGGAAACAUGUUUACCCCUGUGGCAGUUGGGGCCAGUCUCACUCAAGAGCAUCCCGGAGCCCCAGGCUUGCCUUAGAUACUUAGAGCCAGUUCAGUAUCUCCCUCCUAUAAAGGCCUGCAGUCAAGGUCCCCCAAUGCCUCACAGCCAUUGGUACUGAUAUCAGAGGGAACCCAGAAGGGAGGCAUUAUCACACUGUAGCUCUCUAGUGGGCGCUGUGCCCAGUACACUGCACGGCUACCUUCUCAACUUGGUCUUAAUGUGCUAACCUGUGCUGUGCAGCCUCCAACCAUGCAUGCUCAGCCUUCCACCGGCCUCUAGGUCUUUCCUAGAAGCACAGUCCCCCACCCUGCUAGGCAUACCUGGCCUGUAUUCCAAUUCUUCCUCCCCCAUAGCUAGGGAGCUGUCAUGUAGUCUCUGACAGGGUCAUCGCGUCUCAUGUCUGUUGUUCAAGUGUCUGAUCUGCCCCUGGCCUUCUUCAGUCUUUGAACAUGACUCUAGUUAGACCUGGGGUGAGCAGUGCCCAGGCUGCCACACAGGUGCAGGCUUCAGGCUGUUCUUUCCCUAGCCCUGGCCCCCAUUUCACCUCUUGAGAGUGUAUGCACAAACGCCUGCCGAGUGUCUUCUGUGACAAUACAUUCCCGAGGUCAGCAAAUAUUUGCCGCCUGCGGUUCAGCCCACCUGCAGGCCACCCAGGGUAGGAACAGGAGGGAGAGUGGCUAGGAGCCAGCAAGAGGAGGCUGCAGAGGAGGACCCUAUCAUCUUGGGAUUGCAUCACUAGAGGCAUGGGCACCAGAACCAUGAAGGGGGUGUGCCUGGGAGUGCUGCCAGCUUUGGACACCUUGGAACAACUGGAGCUUGUCUGGGGUGGGCAAAGUUAGGUGAGCGGAAUAGCUGGCUCCUGGUGAAGUCUGGCUGACUGCUGAAGGCUGCUGGCUGUGUUUGAGAUGACUUAAGUGUGUCAUAACAACACUGAAAACCUUCAAUUGUGGACCAUUAGAGCAUAUACAGAGCUGCAAAGAAUAGCAUGGGGAUUCCCCUACAUAGACUACUCCAGGGUCAAUGGCCAAGCAGAAGGUCACCACUUCCUUUGCCAGCAUGAAGCAUGAAGCCUACACUUAUGGCAGCAUUUUUUAUCUCAUCACUGGUUUCUCUGGAGACCCUGGUGCUCAUGUAAAGUAAGACUGAGGCUGGUCUUGGGGGUCCCUAGACACAUUAGGACCUCUUCCACCGGGGCUGGCAUUAUGGUGGCUGACUGAGUCACCAAAAAGUGGGGGAGUUCCAACUUCUGAGUUCCAACCCUGCUGAAGGAGCCUGCCCAUGUGUGUCUCCCUGUGAGGGAGGAGAGUGAGCCCCGUUUUACACAUGAUGAAACAGAGCUGUAGAGAUAGUAUUCAGUGGCAAAGGUGGGUUGGGAAAGGGCAUCGGGUCCUAAGCCCACCUCAGUCUUUACCAGUGCACACCAAAGAGAAAAAUUGUCAUUUGACAAAGAGGUGUUAGGAUGCUAAGUAUCUAAUCAUUGUCCUCUCACUGUCUGAGGGUCUUAUACAGACCAUGGUGUGGCACUCCACAGGGAUGGUGAGGCAUUCCAUGGGGACUUGGAGACUUCGGGUACUGAACCACUCACUUCUGAUGGAAGGCUGAGGCCAGGGGUGGGCAGGGCUGUCAGAAGUAGUUUUUGUGGCUAUCCUUCUCAAGUAGCUCUAAGCACUAUGGAAAGAUAAUGAAUUGUCAUCCUUGUCUGGCCCUAACACACUGGAAAUGGCUUGAAUUGGAACAUCACAACCACUCUCUGCAGUGAUCUUUCUGUCCCCAUCUGCGAGGUGGACUUUCUUCCCUGAUCAUACUUAGGUAGUUAACAUUUGAAUCCAGGGAGGGUACCCCAAAGUUACUGUGGUCAUCUCCACUCUUGUUGGUUGCCUGAUUUGCAAGGAGCCUGGGAAAGGCUCUCUUGACCUAGAGUCUCUCAUUCCCCUCCAGCUACAAAGGAGGUUUGAAGCAUUCCUUUCUUGGAGAGACAUUAACUAUAUAGUCUUCCUCUUUAUAAGGUCCCAACAACCAUGCAAUCCAGCCAAAGUUUACUUAGGGCACCAAAAAGGUUUUGGGCUUCCUUGCAGACACCCUGGGAAGUCUACACCCAGCAUGGCUGUUAGGUCCUCCAAGGCCCCAUAGAUGGAGCCCUCUCUGCUAGGCACCCCAGCCCAUGUACUCUAGUCCCUCCCAAGACCCUGAGGCCAUGUGCAUUUAGGGCAGAUGUGACUGAGAGGAGAGGGGCUAAUGACCUUCUGCCUCCUUUUGAGGAAAUGACAACAAUCAUCCAGCUGGCUCCUCAUGGCCUCUUGCAAGCAGGCACAGCUGAUUCGAUAAAGGUGACAACUGUUUUACUUGGAGGACCACAUUUUAUAACACGGCCAUUUCAGCAUGUGUGGGAAUAGGAGGUUCAGGCUUGUCUCUGUCUCUCUGGCUCUGCUGAGAUCCCCUGCAUUGGGGCAUGGGCUCCGGCCAGGCCCAUCUGGUGCAGGUGGGUCUUCUCUUUCCACCCUGUCCACAGAGCCAGCAGACUACAGCAUCUACAGACCGUGACCCCUCCCUGCAGAAAUCAUCUCAGCCAUCCCUGCCAACACCCCAGCACCUCAGUGCACUUGGCAAGUGGGCUGCCUGCCUUCCUGAGCCCCCCCAGGGACCACCUGGGGGUGGCGGUGGGGGGAGGCCUCGGAUGGAGCCACAGGCUGGUGCUCAUGCUCAGCAGGCCAUCUGUGCUGCUGUGUGCCCUGGGCACAAUACUAGGGCUCCCUGAGCUCCUCUGGCUUCACCUGACCUUCAGCAGGUUCAGGAGCCAAGCUGUGCAGAUAGGCCUUACCCAGCUGGGUGCUGAGCAAUGAGAGGGGCAUCUGUUAGACUUUGCUUUCUCCCACGACCCAUUCCUCCCUCCCACCCUUCCCCAGUGAUCCCUGCCGUCACGUCACAUUGACAAGGAAUGCUCUUCAAGGACCAUUGCCCCCACUCGAGUGCUGGCUUUGUACACAUCCCACACAGGGAGCUCAGACAGUCCCAGGCAGGCGGCCCCUAGGGACCUGUCUGUCCAGCCUAUAAGACAGAAGCAAAGAGGCCAGGUGGGGAAAUUCAGGGGAGAGAGGCUGCGGGCUGCAGGGAGGGCGGGGAAGGCACAGUUCUGCACACAGAGGUUGGGUUUGAAUUGCCCUAGAGCCCUGGGGUGUGGAGAUGUCUAUAGGCCUUUAGGUUGUAUACUGCACAAGGGCCAACUGAGAAGCCCAUAAACGUCCUGCAUCUAGACACAUUUGUCUCCCACUGGAGCCUCCGAGACCUCGCAGUCACUCCCUUGGGCCUGGGUCCAGCAAAUUGGAACCAUGUAUGGGGCAGAGUCGCUGGGACGCUGACAUGAGACAGCCUUGUGUUGCGUGGCAUGGCUGUGGAUUUUGCACAGUUGAAGGCUGAGCUCUGCCUCUUCCCAGCUGGGCGAUCUUGAGAUAGUUCGUGAACUUCUCUGAGCCCUUUCCCCAGCAUUUAAACAAAUAAAGGUAUAAAACUG